rnacentral:rRNA from 1 species
GAUUCCCCUAGUAACUGCGAGUGAAGCGGGAAAAGCUCAAAUUUAAAAUCUGGCGGUCUUCGGCCGUCCGAGUUGUAGUCUGGAGAAGUGCUUUCCGCGCUGGACCGUGUAUAAGUCUCUUGGAACAGAGCGUCAUAGAGGGUGAGAAUCCCGUCUUUGACACGGACUACCAGUGCUUUGUGAUGCGCUCUCAAAGAGUCGAGUUGUUUGGGAAUGCAGCUCAAAAUGGGUGGUGAAUUCCAUCUAAAGCUAAAUAUUGGCGAGAGACCGAUAGCGAACAAGUACCGUGAGGGAAAGAUGAAAAGCACUUUGGAAAGAGAGUUAAACAGUACGUGAAAUUGCUGAAAGGGAAACGCUUGAAGUCAGUCGCGUCGUCCGGAACUCAGCCUUGCUUUCGCUUGGUGCACUUUCCGGAUGACGGGUCAGCAUCGAUUUUGACCGUCGGAAAAGGGCUGGAGUAAUGUGGCACCUCCGGGUGUGUUAUAGACUCUAGUCGCAUACGGCGGUUGGGAUCGAGGAACGCAGCGCGCCGCAAGGCAGGGGUUCGCCCACUUUCGCGCUUAGGAUGCUGGCAUAAUGGCUUUAAACGACCCGUCUUGAAACACGGACCAAGGAGUCUAACAUACCUGCGAGUGUUUGGGUGGAAAACCCGAGCGCGUAAUGAAAGUGAAAGUUGAGACCUCUGUCGUGGAGGGCAUCGACGCCCGGACCUGACGUUCUCUGAAGGAUCCGCGGUAGAGCAUGUAUGUUGGGACCCGAAAGAUGGUGAACUAUGCCUGAAUAGGGUGAAGCCAGAGGAAACUCUGGUGGAGGCUCGUAGCGAUUCUGACGUGCAAAUCGAUCGUCAAAUUUGGGUAUAGGGGCGAAAGACUAAUCGAACC